GAACAUAAACGGAAACUGCAUGGGCAAAAUUCAGAACAGCAGAGGGCAGCAUGGCAGCAGACUGAGCAUCCAUGGAAUAUGGUGGUCCCUGAACGGCUUCAUCAGUUUCACCACACAUUAACUGUGUGUAGAUGGCUGUGGCUUCUCAGUACAAUUGCAGGUUCCCAACAAUGUGCAAACAGUGAAAUGUGUAUAUAUGAAAAAGCACAGAGUGAUGCACAACAAAGGAUAAACAACAGAAAUACAUCAAUGAUGAAAACAAAUACAGAGCUAAAAGCAGUCAACUGAUGUUUCCACCUCCAUCUCCAGUUCUGAAACAUUGCACUACUGUACAUUGAUACAUAUGCCUCAGGUAUUUGAUUUACCACCAUCUACAUCUCAUCUUCAUCAAGCAGGAUUCAUCCAACUUGACUGAUGAAGUUAUAGUUCCAAAGUAAAUAACACUUUAGAAAAAGUGUGAAAAAUAUGCUUCUCUCUAGACUCA